rnacentral:rRNA from 1 species
GUGUGCGCGCUUCAGGGCCAGUUUCAGCGGAACACUUUGAUUUCUGCUUACUGCUAAAUCCUCCUUCUAGAUACACGUUUCAGUAAUAUUAUUCGUGAUUCACUGUAAUAGGGAAUGUAGCCCAUUUCUUCCCUUUCCAUGCGCUACACCUCGACCUGACGUUCUGGGUUUUACCAAUCAUGCUCACUAGGGGGCCUUCAUAGGGUAAGCUGGCGACGGCGGUAUAUAGGCGGGGAUGACUAGGAAAGGUGAGGUUAAACGGGGGUUAUCGGUUAUAGAACAGGCUCCUCUAGGUGGGUCUAAAGCACCGCCAAGUCCUUUGGGUUUUAAGCUGUUGCUCGUAGUCUCUCAGGCGGAUAGUGGGUGU